rnacentral:rRNA from 1 species
CACGUAGGGCGCAAGCGUUGUCCGGAAUUAUUGGGCGUAAAGAGCUCGUAGUCGGUCUGUUGCGUCCGCUGUGAAAACUCGGGGCUUAACCCCGAGCCUGCAGUGGAUACGGGCAGACUAGAGGUAGGUAGGGGAGAAUGGAAUUCCCGGUGUAGCGGUGAAAUGCGCAGAUAUCGGGAGGAACACCGGUGGCGAAGGCGGUUCUCUGGGCCUUACCUGACGCUGAGGAGCGAAAGCGUGGGGAGCGAUCCGG